GGGGCUGAUUCUGGAUUCGACGGGAUUUGCGAAACCCAAGGUGCAUGCCGAGGGGCGGUUGGCCUCGUAAAAAGCCGCAAAAAAAUAGUCGCAAACGACGAAACCUACGCUUUAGCAGCUUAAUAACCUGCUUAGAGCCUUCUCUCCCUAGCCUCCGCUCUUAGGACGGGGAUCAAGAGAGGUCAAACCCAAAAGAGAUCGCGCGGAUGCCCUGCCUGGGGUUGAAGCGUUAAAACGAAUCAGGCUAGUCUGGUAGUGGCGUGUCCGUCCGCAGGUGCCAGGCGAAUGUAAAGACUGACUAAGCAUGUAGUACCGAGGAUGUAGGAAUUUCGGACGCGGGUUCAACUCCCGCCAGCUCCACCA
rnacentral:tmRNA from 3 species